rnacentral:misc_RNA from 1 species
UUAAGUUCAGCGGGUAUCCCUACCUGAUCCGAGGUCAACCUUAAAAAAAUUAGGGGUUGCUGGCAAGUAAACCUACCGGACUCAAUCGCGAGGAGUAUUACUACGCGUAGAGCCGACAGGCACCGCCACUGAUUUUAGGGGCCGCGAAACCGCGAACCCCAAUACCAAGCGAGAGCUUGAGUGGUUAUAAUGACGCUCGA